rnacentral:other from 1 species
CGUCACCUGCGGUGUUCGACAGUCGGCCGGGUUACCCUCGACCCUAAUUGAUACACCCAUGGGGCAUUGGAUUGCCGGCAGAAUUGUGCAUGUCCGCUCGCGCGGAAAGCCUUACCUGCCGCACCACGCCCCACCUGUUGCUCAGGUCGAGAGCAACGGCUGCCACCGGCACAGGCGGGUGACGC